rnacentral:rRNA from 1 species
GAUGAACGCUGGCGGCGUGCUUAACACAUGCAAGUCGAACGAAGCACUUAAUGAGAUUUCUUCGGAUUGAUUAUUUUGUGACUGAGUGGCGGACGGGUGAGUAACGCGUGGGUAACCUGCCCCAGACCGGGGGAUAACAGUCGGAAACGACUGCUAAUACCGCAUAAGCGCACAGUGCCGCAUGGCACGGUGUAGAAAAACUCCGGGUGGUCUGGGAUGGACCCGCGUCCGAUUAGUUAGUUGGUGGGGUAACGGCCCACCAAGACUGCGAUCGGUAGCCGACCUGAGAGGGUGACCGGCCACAUUGGGACUGAGACACGGCCCAGACUCCGUACGGGAGGCAGCAGGUGGGGGAUAUUGCGCAAGUGGGGGCCAACCCUGACGCAGCAACGCCGCGUGAAGGAUGAAGGUUUUCGGAUUGUAAACUUCUUUUAUUAAGGACGAAACUUGACGGUACUUAAUGAAUAAGCUCCGGCUAACUACGUG